GAAGGGAAAGAAAAAGAAAAAGAAGAAGAAAGAAAGAAACAAAAA
rnacentral:ribozyme from 1 species